UACAUGGGGUGCAAACGUUGCUCGGAAUUAUUGGGCGUAAAGCGCGCGUAGGCGGUUACUUAAGUCGGAUGUGAAAGCCCUCGGCUUAACUGAGGAAGUGCACCCGAAACUGAGUAGCUAGAGUACGAAAGAGGGUCGCGGAAUUCCCGGUGUAGAGGUGAAAUUCGUAGAUAUCGGGAGGAACACCGGUGGCGAAGGCGGCGACCUGGGUCGAGACUGACGCUGAGGCGCGAAAGCUAGGGUAGCAAACGGG
rnacentral:rRNA from 1 species